UACGUAGGGGGCAAGCGUUGUCCGGAUUUAUUGGGCGUAAAGAGCGUGUAGGCGGCUUGGUAGGUCCGCUGUGAAAACUCGAGGCUCAACCUCGAGAUGUCGGCGGAAACCACUUGGCUAGAGUCCGGAAGAGGAGAGUGGAAUUCCUGGUGUAGCGGUGAAAUGCGCAGAUAUCAGGAAGAACACCUAUGGCGAAGGCAGCUCUCUGGGACGGUACUGACGCUGAGACGCGAAAGCGUGGGAGCGAACAGG
rnacentral:rRNA from 1 species